CCUACGGGUGGCAACAGUGGGGAAUAUUGGACAAUGGGCGAAAGCCUGAUCCAGCCAUGCCGCGUGUGUGAAGAAGGCCUUCGGGUUGUAAAGCACUUUCAGUGGGGAAGAAAGCCUUGGGGCUAAUACCCUCGAGGAAGGACAUCACCCACAGAAGAAGCACCGGCUAACUCCGUGCCAGCAGCCGCGGUAAUACGGAGGGUGCGAGCGUUAAUCGGAAUUACUGGGCGUAAAGCGCGCGUAGGCGGUCUGAUAAGCCGGUUGUGAAAGCCCCGGGCUCAACCUGGGAACGGCAUCCGGAACUGUCAGGCUAGAGUGCAGGAGAGGAAGGUAGAAUUCCCGGUGUAGCGGUGAAAUGCGUAGAGAUCGGGAGGAAUACCAGUGGCGAAGGCGGCCUUCUGGACUGACACUGACGCUGAGGUGCGAAAGCGUGGGUAGCAAACAGGAUUAGAUACCCGAGUAGUC
rnacentral:rRNA from 1 species